rnacentral:rRNA from 1 species
GACGAACGCUGGCGGCGUGCCUAAUACAUGCAAGUCGAACGCAGUGGGGACGGGUGAGUAACACGUGGGUAACCUCGCAUCAGAGGGGAUAACACUUGGAAACAGGUGCUAAACCGAUACUGAUGGAUGGACCCGCGGGGCAUUAGCUAGUUGGUGGGGUAACGGCUCACCAAGGCCACGAUGCAUAGCUGGCCGGAGAGGAUGAUCGGCCACACUGGGACUGAGACACGGCCCAGACUCCUACGGGAGGCAGCAGUGGGGAAUCUUCGGCAAUGGACGAAAGCCUGACCGGGCAACGCCGCGUGAGUGAAGAAGGUUUUCGGAUCGUAAAACUCUUUUGUCGGAGAGGCGGUACCUAACCAGAAAGCCACGGCUAACUACGUGCCAGCAGCCGCGGUAAUUC